rnacentral:misc_RNA from 1 species
GCUGACAGUGAAUAUAGGAGUAUAUCAAAGCAUGAAACUACAACAUUUCGAACAUAGAAAACAAACAUUUAGUCAAACUAAAACGAGCUAAGUAUAAGAAACAAUACAACCCAACAGAGUUAUAUAAUUCUGAAGUUAUUUUGACAAGGGAGAGAGAUAGAGCUUGGCAUAUUAAUACAAACUUCCAAAGCAACAUAACAGUUGAAUUUACCCUGGAUUUGGCUUUGUAGCAA